UUCUAAAAAGAAAAAGAAAAAGUGCCAAGACCACGCUAGCUUCGGCUAGAAUAUCGGAUACGGCGAGAGCUUCGACGCGUCCGUCGAGUUGCAACGUCCGACGCGACAUGUCGUUCGAGUUGACGGGCAACUUGACGGGCAAAAAGAACUACCACUGCUCCCGGCCAUUAUCUCCGAGAAAAGGGAUAGUCUCAGUAAAGUAUCGCGAGGUCACGGUGUAUGGAAUACGUAAACAGAAAGAAAUAUCUACAAUAUUGUGGAAUAUCUAGGAUUAUAACAUCAGGGAUUACAGGUUUGGAUUUUUUCAAUAUUGAGAAAGGUCAAAUAAAUUGGCAGAAACAAAAUAAACACACAGAAUAAGAAAACAAUGGCGUUCAGCAUAAAACACUGCUUACUAAUGGAGGAUUCAUACUGCAUCCGAUGUCCGGAUCGUACGUCCGGACGUACGAUGUCCGACAUCCAAUAGGAGAACAGCUUUUCAAUGGAGAAUUGAAUUCUCCAUUACAAAACUGUUGAAUAAGCGCUUGACUCUGUAGCCAAUAAAAUAAUCCGUGCAGCAUCUAAAGAUGGAUAUAAGGAGGCUCAAAUAUAAGGCCUGACUAUGAAUACGGGUAUAAGCGCUCACUAAUCACUCUGUUCUGCUGAACGCAGCCAGUGAUUGGAAUAUUCUUUCAGAUCUUUAACAAAUCCAGGGGAAUGAACCAAUCAGAAACGAUAAUCACUAAGCGCUUAAUUCUUCAUAGACCCUGAAAUAUUUACCAAUGAGGAGCGAGAUUCAGUGGAAAAUCUAGUAAUGUUGUCCAACUGUUGAGUCUGCUAAAUGCGGCCAUUGAUAUAUGGCUUGCGAUACGGCCAUUAGGUAAAAAUAGUUAAUACCUGGAAGGGACGGAAUGGAAAAUGGCGUGUGGAUAUUGUUUCGGAACAGUUCGGAACCAAAAAUAAAACCAACCAACCAACCUGGAAGGGACGGAGUGGGGAUUUAUUUAUUAAAUGAACUGAAACUGACAUAGAAGGUCAGUCGUAGACGAAACGUUGAUGAGAGAUGAUACGACGUUGGUGUAUAGUGUAGUUAUAAACCAACGAGACGCCACGUGGACGCAGAAUCAUUUAGAUAAGUAAAUUUAAAAAUCGAAAGGGAGAGAGAGAGAGAGGGAG